rnacentral:misc_RNA from 1 species
ACAAACUUGGUCAUUUAGAGGAAGUAAAAGUCGUAACAAGGUAACCGUAGGUGAACCUGCGGUUGGAUCAUUAAUGAAUUUUAAUGAAUUGAAAUGUCGGUGCGGAGUCUACUCCAACCCGAUCUUUUCAAACCAACAUUGUGAACUUUGUAUAUUGUCUCUGGUGGGCUUAACGAGUGCCUUCGGGUGCUUCCCACUGUAAUAUCAAAACUUCAUAUUUUUUUUGUCUAUAUUUCUCUAUUAUUUUAUAAUGAAGAAACAACUUUUGACAACGGAUCUCUUGGCUCUCGCAUCGAUGAAGAACGCAGC